CAAUUUGAGAGGCUGCUGUCACGCACCCUGCGCACAGAAGCGACCAGCCGUGCGCCUUCUUCAUGAGCGCGGACAGCGGGCACGGGUUCAACACUGCACUGAGCUGGACAGGAUGCUGACGGACAGAUGGAAACAGACACAGUCUCUGCCAUAGAACAGAGGGUCCACCCGUACAGCAAGUGCGUAAGGGGGAGAAGUAUUCGCCGGCACUCUAGGGCUGCAUCCCUGUCUUCAGAGGGGACAGCAUGGACAUAACAGUUACCGUUAAAAUGAUAGUCUCACAAAUUCGAUCCUAACAAGAGGGAAUUUGCGGGAAAGUGCGAACGAAGGAUUUUACCGGCUUGUCUGCGAUUUGUUUUAUAGCCUAGCACUUCGAUAAGUUGCUCGGGAGAAUGGAAAAGCCCACCCAGCCUCAGCUGCAGUCGAGCAUAUCCAAGAGCGCAGAAGGUCCCUCAGAGGACCUCUCCAAACUUACGGAUGAGGAGCUUCUGAAAUGGAGCAAGGAGGAGCUGGUUCGCCGGCUCCGCAGAGCCGAAGCGGAGAAGAUGAGCGUCAUAGUGGACCACAGCAAUCUCAUCCGAGAGGUGAACCGCAGGCUUCAGCAGCAUCUCACCGAAAUACGGGGGCUGAAGGACGUGAAUCAGAAGCUGCAAGAGGACAACCAGGAGCUGCGGGACCUCUGCUGCUUUCUGGAUGAUGACCGGCAGAAAGGGAAAAAGGUGUCGAGGGAGUGGCAGCGCCUGGGCCGCUACAGUGCAGGGAUCAUGCGUAAGGAGGUGACGCUUUACCUGCAAAAGCUAAAAGAGCUGGAGCAGAGGCAGGAGGAAGUGGUGAGGGAGAACCUUGAACUGAGAGAGCUGUGCCUCAUGCUGGAUGAGGAGAAGGGCUCUGGAGGUACCGGCGGGUCAGCGGGUACCGGGGGACCAGCCGGCUGCAGGAAUUCAAUCGAUAGCCAGAGCAGCCUGUCUCACGCUAGCGGCCCUGGGCCUGGCCUACUAAGGGAUGUGGGUGACGGGAGCAGUACCUCCAGCGCGGGCAGCACCGACAGCCCUGACCAUCUCACACAUAAGCAGCAGCUGUUGGGUGGCCCGGUUGGAGGCAGUCCUGAUCACCUACAUAAGCCAGGCUCAGGGGAGGAGGCAACGGGUCCUGAGCAAGCAAGCCGCAGACAUAGCACCAGCCAGGAGUACGGAGCGCAUACCUUUCCCCAGGUGUGCCGGUCACGCUGUGGGUCCUUCUCCAGUCCGGAUCAUAAGGGCCUGCGGGGUCUCAGUCCAGACAAACUUGGCAAGAGAGGCAGCCCAGAGCAGUUCUCAAAACACUUGCUGGUGUCCUCUCAGCCACCUGGCAGCCCUGAUCUUUUCCAGAAGCACAGGGGUAGCAUGGGUAGCGUGUGUGGGAGCCUAGAACCCAAACAGAUUCUAUCAGGGACACCGGAGCACCUACAGAAGGGCCGUGUCAUAUCUGGGAGCCCUGAGUUGUUGAGGCAUCAGCAUGGCAAGUUUGGCAGCCCCGGCCGAGAGGUGGCACAGAAGAGGCCGGGCGUAGAGGAGAUGUCCCCUCAUCACCGGAGCAUCUAUAGCGGUAUGAAUGGUGGGUCCGAUUGGAGCCUGCUGUAGCACCCACAAUGAGAUACACGGAGUCCCAUUUGAGUACACCACACGCAGAGGGGAUGGUCAUCCUUCAUCCUGGAGCCAGCAAAGCCCCAAUUCCCAGCCAGGCACUAAACCAUCCCAUUCAGCCAGCCAUGAUCUGCAUUUAGUCUAGUUUUGCUUUGCUCAGUUCAGGAGAGGCAAUGGCCAUAUAGAGCAGGGGCUUUAGUGUCUGGCUAGAGCACAACAUCUCAUCUCUGGUAAAGGUCGGUGGUGUCCAGUCUUGGUCCUCUCGGGCCAUGAUUUUAGCAGGCUUUAGCUGCCUCCUAUCAAUCAGCCUCUGUACCUGUGCCUCCGAAGCCAUUUUUAUAUGCUCUGGAACCCAGCUGAGGGAACACUGUAAUCUGUCAAUCAAUGAAAGACCAAAAUGCUCAGAGGCCCAACAAAAGCCAGAAGACAGUGCUGCCCAGGAGGACCAGGAGUGGACACCAUUGUAUUUGCCAUAUGCACGCAGCUCUGAUAUCGGCUGGCUGUUGCACCAGCUCCUGUAGAAGUGUCAAGCUUUGGGACAGUUUUGAUACCUCCUGACCAUUGCCUUGACUGGAUCCAGUGGUGGAGCCCUGGCUAUGAAAGAGGAUCCCUGUUGCUUUCAUUUAUCUUGCACUGACAGAAAUGGAAGAUGAGGAUGAAAAACCUGAGUGAAGGACAAAAAUGUUUUUGCAGCAGCCAGUGUCUCUCGUCCCCCUCCCUAACCACGCUGGUUUCUGCUGGUCUCCCAAUACAACUUACAGCCCUGCAAAACAACCGAGGCCUGGAGGAGGGAUCGUUUAGGAUUUAAACAGCUGGAAAUAACACGAUUGCCAAAAGGAUUUUUUCAAAUGGGAGAUUUAAUCAUCUCUCUUUUGCCAACAAAAUAGACCUACCUCCUUUGAACGGAAGCAGACGAAACAAAAAAGUUUGAAAUGGGACUGAAAGGUUUUUGUUUACAGUCGCCACAAACCACACAAUCAGUUCACACUGCAAAAAAUAAAAAUAAAAAUAAAAAUAAAUUUAUAUAUAUAUACACGACCAGUCAAAAGUUUUUGAACAGUACAAUUUUUUUUUUUUAAAGAAGUCUCUUCCGCUCACCAAGCUUGCAUUUAUUUGAAGCAGUAUACAGCAAAAGCAGUAAUAUUUUGAUUUUUUUUUACUAUUUAAAAUAACUGCGUUCCUUUUGAAUAUAUUUUAAAAUGAAAUUUAUUGCUGAAAUUUAUAAGCUAAAUUUUCAGCAUCAUUAGUCCAGUCAGUGUCAUAUGAUCCUUUAGAAAUCAUUCUAAUAGGUUGAUAUGCUGUUGAAGAAACAUUUAUUGUUAUUAUUAUUAUUAUCAUCAAUUUUUAAAUCAGUUGAGUACAUUUUUUUCAGGAUUCUUUGAUGAAUAGAGAAAUCCAAAGAUCAACAUUUAUCCGAAAUAACAUGCAUUUAUAAUGUUACAAAAUAUUUCUAUUUCAGAUAAAUGCUGUUCUUCUGAAAUUUUUAUUCAUCAAAGAAACCUGAAAAAUUCUACUCAGCUGUUUUUUUUUUAACAUAAUAAUGAUAAAUGUUUUUUUGAGCAGCAAAUCAGAAUAUUAGAAUGAUUUCUGAAGGAUCAUGUGACUGGAGUAAUAAUGCAAAAAAAAAUCAGCUUUGAAAUCAAAGGAGUAAAUUACAUUUUAUAAUAUAUUCAAAUAAAAAAGUUAUGUUAAAUAGUACAAAUAUUUUUAAAUUGUACUGUUCUUGCUGUACUUUGGAUCAAAUAACUACAGGCUUGGUGAGCAGAAGAGAUGCCUCUUAAAAAAAAAUUGACUGGUAGUGUAUAUAUAUAAUUUUAUGUAUUUAUUAUUAUUAUUAUUAUUUAUUUUUUUUGCAGUGUGACAACAUUUUGCACACACAGGCAGAUACCUAUUACCAAACCUUUUGCCUCUAAGAACAAGGGCAUUUCUUAAGCUGUUGAGCAAUACUGAAUGUCAGUGGCUCACGAGUAUCAAAUUUUAUCUUAAAUCUGAAUGAUAAUGACGAAGUCGUAUCAAUCACUGCCUGGCUUUCAUUAGGACCUGUGUGAAAACAGUUAAUUUACUAUGUUGACUAUAUGGCCAUGUGUAAAGUACGGUAGUUAAACACUUAACUAUCUAUAGUCGCUAAAGCUGAAAGUCAAAGUGGGAGGCGUCCUAAAACACCCCUCCUGUCUCUCAAUAUCCCAUUACUGAUCUGUUCGUAGAUGCAGUGUUGUGAUGUAAAAGAAGCACAUAGAAAGCUGCUGCUGCACCCGAGACUUGUGUAGCCAGACGCUUUAGGCUUCCAUUGUGUCGAGUCCUCUUGCGUCUGGUGUUUCUGCCCUCACUGCUGCUGAAAUCAAGCGGCCCAAUCACAAAGCUCAGAUAUCUUGACCAUUUCAAUGCUUUGUGAAAUUGCCAAACCCAUUUUAUGGUUCACCACUAAAAUGGGAUUUUUUUCUCCGUCUGUCUGUGGAUUCAAAAGGAAGAGGUGGCUCUAUGGCUCUGUUAGAGUCUAGAUGUGCUUGCCCUCAGUGUUCACUGUUUUUGGACCUUAACUGAGAGGUAAAACUCAGAGACUUGUCAUCCCACUGGACUACAUUGACCAUCAUGCCUCUCUUCGUACCAGGUAUUUAACUGAAUCUAUUCUGGCUUUCAGUACUUAUUUGUUCCAGGUACUGUUGCGUUUCACUUGAGAGGUCUUCAUAGUUUAUAUUUGUUCCCUGACUGAACGUAACGCACAUCUCGCAAACCAUCAAUCCUUCUGUAUACCGUCAGUAUUAAAAACAGCAAAAGUUACUUGAUAAGCUCAUUAACCUGUGAUUUUUUUAUUUUUGUUGACAGAUUAUGAAACAGAACAAAUAUUAAUAUAUAAAAACCUUUAUGUUUUUAAAAAGUAAAGAGUAGUUUAAGGCUUAGUUUUUUAUAUAUGAUAACUAUAAUUAUUAUUUUUGACGUACUGGUAUUAUGGAAUCUAUAAAUAUUAUAC